rnacentral:ncRNA from 1 species
UGUCUUCGGGGCGGGGUGGAAGUCCCCACCGGCGGUAUAGCCCGCGAGCGUGUUUUUGCGCUGAGCCUGUGAAAUUCAGGCGCCGACGGUAUAGUCCGGAUGAAAGAAGAU